rfam:Candidatus Zambryskibacteria bacterium RIFCSPLOWO2_02_FTLL_44_12b rifcsplowo2_02_scaffold_9245, whole genome shotgun sequence.
GGCCCUAUCGUCUAUCGGUUAGGACACGAGCUUUUCAAGCUCGGAAGCCGGGUUCGACUCCCGGUAGGGUCA